GGGGCCCCCCCACCGCAAACACGCAGAGCGCUGAUCGCGCGGGCCCCGCUCCGAUACGCAGCAUCUCUGUUUCAAAAGAGGUCAAACCUGUGUAAAUUGAAGGGGUCUAAAAGCAAUCACCUAUAAAACAAAGGGAAAGGAAGUCCUGUUUCAAGGUAUUUGUAAGCUGGAACUUGACACGAAACACAAGCUGACAUUUUGCAAACUAAGCUGGCUGGGUUCACGUAACA